AUGUGCGGGUGUGCGGAGGCGCUCGUGAGGGCGGUGGUGGCCUUCUUCGACGCCUUCCUCGUCGACUGCUUCCUCUUCUGGUUCCGCCGCUGCCGCCCCCUGCCCCGGCCCCGACAGCCCCGCCUCCGCCCACCGGGUAAGCCAACCCUACCUCUCCCUCUCCCUCGCGUCCGGCUCCUCGGUUCGUUCGUUCUUCGAUCCCAGGCGGUGAUGUUUUUAUUUUUUGGUGCGUUCAUGUCUGUGCAGGAUCCGCUCGUGCCCAAGGACUGGACAGGGGAGGCGCUCCGGGCCUCGGACGAAGAGAAAGGUGCCCUGGGUUUCUCGGUCAGAUUUGUGAUUUCGCGGUUUUGCAGAGAGCACAUUGUCGAACCAGCAGAUGGCGAUGACACAGAUGAGGAGCUUAGGCGAGAGGUUGUAGCUCUAGGUCGAUUGUGUUGU
rnacentral:rRNA from 1 species